CUCGCCCCCCUGUCCCCAGGCUCCCCCGCACUGCCCUGGAGCCCCGCGUCCCCCCCCCGGCUGGAGGAGCCCUGGAGCUGCCCACGGGGCCGGCGCCAGUCAGAGCCUCCGCCGCUCAUGUGCAGCCCCGAGCGCGCUCGCCGCAGCUGCUCCAGCUUGGACCCCGGCACUCACGGCCGCCACGGGCGCCGCCAGUCUGAGCCGGCUACGGAGAGGAGCCCCCCGGGGCCGGAGCCCAGCG